AGCAUUUUAAGCACUUCCUGUCUUCCUCCUUGUCAAAAACAGAUCUUAGAAGCCAUAAAAUGUCAGGAAACAAGUGCAGGAGAUCAAGAUAAGGAAAAACAAAUAGUUUUAUUGCUCAGGAAAAGGCUAAAGCUUCACAAAUGCAAACAAAGGAUUACCCAGUCCUCGAAGCACAGUAAACAAUGAAUCUAGCCUCAGCAACAUGCCAGUCCCAGCAAAAGUUCAAUUCAAGUCUCUGAUACAGCUUACUACAUCCUGCAAAGAAAUCUCAAAUAUUUUCCAUCAUUUUGGCUCAGCAUGUCUACAUUUCAGCCACCAAGAUCUCUACAUCUGCAUGGUAACUUGUGUAAGAACUGGAAAUUAAGGACUGAAAAGUCUGAGUGCUUGAUUUCUCUAGAAGUGGAAUCACAGACAAGUUGAACAAAAUCCAAUGUAUUAUGUUCCUACAUACUGCAGUGUUUAACAUUUUACCAUUAAUAGGAAGAAAAAGCAUGCUAUCAGUCAGGAAAAGGAAAUAAAAUGGAUAUUGUGAGACAAAGCAAAA